rnacentral:rRNA from 1 species
UCGGUCCUACGGGGCGCAGCAGUGAGGAAUAUUGGUCAAUGGCCGGAAGGCUGAACCAGCCAAGUCGCGUGAGGGAAUAAGGCCCUAUGGGUCGUAAACCUCUUUUGUCAGGGAGCAAAGGCGUCCACGUGUGGACGAGAGGAGAGUACCUGAAGAAAAAGCAUCGGCUAACUCCGUGCCAGCAGCCGCGGUAAUACGUAGGGGGCAAGCGUUAUCCGGAUUUACUGGGUGUAAAGGGAGCGUAGACGGCGAAGAAAGUCUGAAGUGAAAGCCCGCGGCUCAACCGCGGAACGGCUUUGGAAACU